CAAAGGAUUUCAAAUUAUUACAUUGUUGUCAGAGCUACAGGAAUUAACAGAUUGAGAGUGAGGCCAUGGAAGGGAAAUUAAAACAUGGAUAUAAUUUUUAAAUCAAAUGUGUUUCUUAGCUAGAAGCUAAUGUGGGUUAAGGGUGAAUGGGUCUCCGUGUGAAUUAGAGCAGAGACUUCCAGGUAAUUAAUGUUGGAACAAGGAGUCUGGCCGGGAAUACAUUAGAACAGUCAAUUCUAAAGUAUUCUAAGGUAAAGCGGUGAGGGGGAGGGAAUUGUCAUUGUUUCAGGUUGAGAACCCUGCAUUCUCCACAGAUGCUGCUUGACCCCCAUUCAACAGUUUGUGUUUUGCAGCCUAGUUCAGCCACAGACGGCUGAUAGUUAUAUUUUCUAGAAAAGCAGUUUAUGAGAUAUAAUCAAAUAUGUUUUGGACUUCCUGAUGAAUAUUUUUCCUCACCCUAGUGUUAUUAGCAUACAUUGUACCUAAAUAAUAUCAAAAACAAUGUGCACAUCAGAAACAUAUGGGAGCACGUCUUUGUGACCACAUGAUUCUCUGACCACAACUGGAUAGAAAGUGAUUGUCCAGGCAACACCCCUCCCAGUUCUAAGUCAGUGGAAAAUAAUUUGAGGAGGAUUUGUGAUGUCAAAGGUUACAAAAGGUCAAGAAGGGGGCAGUAUAACUUUUAAUACCGAAUUACACUUUUUGGCUUAGCUGAGCCGUUUCUGUAUUGUGGCAGAGGUGGAGGUCUAAUUUGAACCCAAACAUGGAGAACAGUGGAAAAUGGUAGAUUCAGAAGGCAACAUGUUCAGGAAGAAAAACUCAAGAUUGGAAAUAGGACACUAGUUUACAAAGUUGGAUUAGGUCAAGGAUUGUUUAAUUGAGAAGAGAUGUAAUGACAUUUAUGGACCAUGGUGAGGCAACAAACUACCAAUUAUAUAAGCCAACAAAAUAAUUAGAAAGAGAAUGGAACCACAAGAAACUGCAGAUGGACCCGACUCAAAUGGAUACAAAAUGUUGGAGUAAUGCAUCGGGUCAGGCAGCAUCCCUGGAGAAAAUGGAUAGGUGAUGUUUUGAGUCGGGUCCAUUCUUCAAGCUUUCCAAUUAGAAAGAUAAGUUGUCUGGUGUGCAUUUUAACAGAAAUAUGAAUAAAACAAUCAGCAAACUAAAUGCAAUUUUACUUUUCUUAAAGUAAAAACAGUAGGGUGCUGACGGGCUUAAGGUACAGAAGGAGCCAUCUGGUCAAUGCUGGUUCUCAGUGGAGUAUCUUGAUAGUCACAUUAUCUUUUAUUUAAUGCUUGUAACCCCACCCAUAUGUCAAUCGACUCCUCUAAGGUUAUUUUAGUAGUUGCCUCCAAAAAUAAGAAAUUUACAGCUGCCCAGUGUAGAUCAGUCACUAUUCCUAGUCCAUGUCGGGUGUUCGUACAGACCGUUCCUGAAGUAUGUUAUCUGGCGCAUGCGUGCCAACUAGGAGAGGUUCUGACGGGGAGCACCGAGGUGGAAUGCAGGGGCUUUGUCAGUAGUAUGUAUGCCUCGUGGUCAUGAAACUUUAUAUGAAGUUAAA